GACGAACGCUGGCGGCGUGCUUAACACAUGCAAGUCGAACGGAAAGGCCCUGCUUUUGUGGGGUGCUCGAGUGGCGAACGGGUGAGUAACACGUGAGUAACCUGCCCUUGACUUUGGGAUAACUUCAGGAAACUGGGGCUAAUACCGGAUAGGAGCUCCUGCUGCAUGGUGGGGGUUGGAAAGUUUCGGCGGUUGGGGAUGGACUCGCGGCUUAUCAGCUUGUUGGUGGGGUAGUGGCUUACCAAGGCUUUUACGGGUAGCCGGCCUGAGAGGGUGACCGGCAACAUUGGGACUGAGAUUCGGCACAGACUCCUACGGGAGGCAGCAGUGGGGAAUCUUGAACAAUGGGCGGAAGCCUGAUGCAGCAACGCCGCGCGCGGGAUGACGGCCUUCGGGUUGUAACCCGCUUUCGCCUGUGAUGAAGCGUGAGUGACGGUAAUGGGUAAAGAAGCAACGGCUAACUACGUG
rnacentral:rRNA from 1 species